UAAAUCAGCGAAGUCAAAGGUUCUACAGAAACCACAACAUAAGACUCUAAAGUCAAAGGUUAUGAAGAAGCCAAAACCUAAGAUAACAGGAGCUAAGGUUUUAAAUGAAUCAGAACCUAAGGUCAACAUUCAUUUAGGACAACAAAAUUUCAAAUAAAAAGUAUUAAAUAAUCCUAAACAUUAUCAAAUAAAAGAAAAGGUACAAAACAAGAAGAAACCUG
rnacentral:lncRNA from 1 species